rnacentral:lncRNA from 1 species
CCCUUAUAUUUACCGUUACAAUAGUCAUCAAAAUAUGUUCAUAUUUCAUCACAUCAUAAUUCUCUUUAUCACAGUUCAUAGACAUAUUUAUCACAUAUCUAGAAUAGGUAAAAAAACACUUACAUUCGGAACUUAGAGAAGGGGUUUUGACUACCUCUAAAUUCCCAAAUACACAACGAAUCAUCUACGAGCAGCGAUUCUAAAACACUCACCAAAAUAUUCGCUUUUACCAAAAAGUUGAAAGUUUAGACAUGCUUCCCUUUGCCUUUAUCUCUACUCGUUGAAGGUCCUAUCGGCUCUGACACUUCAACAAGGCAAACCACACAUAUAUUCAGUCAACAAACAAUCAAUAACUCACCUCAAACAGCCACAAACACAAGCCUAAGCUACAUUAUUUUCUAACCAAAACCUUUAGCACGACAAACUUAAAAUUUGAAUAACUCAGUCUACGCUUAAUAUUUUCACAAAAAAUGAAUUCCAUUCAUCUACAUAUUCAUCAACGACCAAUUCCCAACCUUUAAGCUACACAAAACUACACUUUUUAAGAUAUUGAAAUUUUUCGACAAGUUUUGGCCAUUACAAUAAAAAAUUAUUAAAACCUGAUAAAUACUUGACAAAAUUUCAAAAUUACUUUAGAAAGCUUCUAAUUAAGUUAAACUAAUUGAAAAACACUUUAAAACCAAGUUUUUAUCCACAAACUCGAAAUUCACCAUUAAAGAUCUGAUUUUCGGCUUUUAAUCAAAACAUGCGAUUUAACGGCUAAAAAUUAAGUUUAAAAAACUAAAUAACAUUUAAAACUAAUGGAUAGACGAUUGGUUACCUUCAACGAAAGAAAAAUAGAGAUUUGACGCGAACUUGAGAAAACCUACACUUGAGGAAGAUGAUGAAAUUGGUGAGAUUUUUGGGUAAUUUCUUGAAGAUUUGUGAAGGUUUAAUAUUUGGAAAUGAUAGGAAUUCAAAGUAUCAUAGUUUGAGAGUCAAAAAUCAAUUGAAAGAGUAAGGAAUAGCAAGUGAUGAAAAAACUAAUGAGAUAAGAAGAACAAUUCGUGAAAUUAACUGGGAAUGGGUGUUUAUUAGGUUGAUUUUGAAAAAUUGGUUU